rnacentral:tRNA from 1 species
GGAGUUGUGGCUCAGUGAUAGAGCGCUCGCCUGACGUAUGUGAGGUACUAAGUUCAAUCCUUAGCACCA